rnacentral:rRNA from 1 species
UGAGUAGGGCGGGACACGUGGUAUCCUGUCUGAAUAUGGGGGGACCAUCCUCCAAGGCUAAAUACUCCUGACUGACCGAUAGUGAACCAGUACCGUGAGGGAAAGGCGAAAAGAACCCCGGCGAGGGGAGUGAAAAAGAACCUGAAACCGUGUACGUACAAGCAGUGGGAGCCUCUUAAUGGGGUGACUGCGUACCUUUUGUAUAAUGGGUCAGCGACUUAUAUUCUGUAGCAAGGUUAACCGAAUAGGGGAGCCGAAGGGAAACCGAGUCUUAACUGGGCGUUAAGUUGCAGGGUAUAGACCCGAAACCCGGUGAUCUAGCCAUGGGCAGGUUGAAGGUUGGGUAACACUAACUGGAGGACCGAACCGACUAAUGUUGAAAAAUUAGCGGAUGACUUGUGGCUGGGGGUGAAAGGCCAAUCAAACCGGGAGAUAGCUGGUUCUCCCCGAAAGCUAUUUAGGUAGCGCCUCGUGAAUUCAUCUCCGGGGGUAGAGCACUGUUUCGGCAAGGGGGUCAUCCCGACUUACCAACCCGAUGCAAACUGCGAAUACCGGAGAAUGUUAUCACGGGAGACACACGGCGGGUGCUAACGUCCGUCGUGAAGAGGGAAACAACCCAGACCGCCAGCUAAGGUCCCAAAGUCAUGGUUAAGUGGGAAACGAUGUGGGAAGGCCCAGACAGCCAGGAUGUUGGCUUAGAAGCAGCCAUCAUUUAAAGAAAGCGUAAUAGCUCACUGGUCGAGUCGGCCUGCGCGGAAGAUGUAACGGGGCUAAACCAUGCACCGAAGCUGCGGCAGCGACACUAUGUGUUGUUGGGUAGGGGAGCGUUCUGUAAGCCUGUGAAGGUGUACUGUGAGGUAUGCUGGAGGUAUCAGAAGUGCGAAU